rnacentral:rRNA from 1 species
GAUGAACGCUGGCGGCGUGCCUAAUACAUGCAAGUCGAGCGAACGGACGAGAAGCUUGCUUCUCUGAUGUUAGCGGCGGACGGGUGAGUAACACGUGGAUAACCUACCUAUAAGACUGGGAUAACUUCGGGAAACCGGAGCUAAUACCGGAUAAUAUUUUGAACCGCAUGGUUCAAAAGUGAAAGACGGUCUUGCUGUCACUUAUAGAUGGAUCCGCGCUGCAUUAGCUAGUUGGUAAGGUAACGGCUUACCAAGGCAACGAUGCAUAGCCGACCUGAGAGGGUGAUCGGCCACACUGGAACUGAGACACGGUCCAGACUCCUACGGGAGGCAGCAGUAGGGAAUCUUCCGCAAUGGGCGAAAGCCUGACGGAGCAACGCCGCGCGAGUGAUGAAGGUCUUCGGAUCGUAAAACUCUGUUAUUAGGGAAGAACAUAUGUGUAAGUAACUGUGCACAUCUUGACGGUACCUAAUCAGAAAGCCACGGCUAACUACGUGCCAGCAGCCGCGGUAAUGCGUAGGUGGCAAGCGUUAUCCGGAAUUAUUGGGCGUAAAGCGCGCGUAGGCGGUUUUUUAAGUCUGAUGUGAAAGCCCACGGCUCAACCGUGGAGGGUCAUUGGAAACUGGAAAACUUGAGUGCAGAAGAGGAAAGUGGAAUUCCAUGUGUAGCGGUGAAAUGCGCAGAGAUAUGGAGGAACACCAGUGGCGAAGGCGACUUUCUGGUCUGUAACUGACGCUGAUGUGCGAAAGCGUGGGGAUCAAACAGGAUUAGAUACCCUGGUAGUCCACGCCGUAAACGAUGAGUGCUAAGUGUUAGGGGGUUUCCGCCCCUUAGUGCUGCAGCUAACGCAUUAAGCACUCCGCCUGGGGAGUACGACCGCAAGGUUGAAACUCAAAGGAAUUGACGGGGACCCGCACAAGCGGUGGAGCAUGUGGUUUAAUUCGAAGCAACGCGAAGAACCUUACCAAAUCUUGACAUCCUUUGACAACUCUAGAGAUAGAGCCUUCCCCUUCGGGGGACAAAGUGACAGGUGGUGCAUGGUUGUCGUCAGCUCGUGUCGUGAGAUGUUGGGUUAAGUCCCGCAACGAGCGCAACCCUUAAGCUUAGUUGCCAUCAUUAAGUUGGGCACUCUAAGUUGACUGCCGGUGACAAACCGGAGGAAGGUGGGGAUGACGUCAAAUCAUCAUGCCCCUUAUGAUUUGGGCUACACACGUGCUACAAUGGACAAUACAAAGGGCAGCGAAACCGCGAGGUCAAGCAAAUCCCAUAAAGUUGUUCUCAGUUCGGAUUGUAGUCUGCAACUCGACUACAUGAAGCUGGAAUCGCUAGUAAUCGUAGAUCAGCAUGCUACGGUGAAUACGUUCCCGGGUCU